GGAGGGUGCGAGCGUUGUUCGGAAUCACUGGGCGUAAAGGGCGUGUAGGCGGUCCGCUAAGUCUGAUGUGAAAGCCCGGGGCUCACCCCCGGAAGGGCAUUGGAAACUGACGGACUCGAGUCCCGAAGAGGAGGGUGGAAUUCCUGGUGUAGCGGUGAAAUGCGUAGAUAUCAGGAGGAACACCGGUGGCGAAGGCGGCCCUCUGGACGGUGACUGACGCUGAGACGCGAAAGCGUGGGGAGCAAACAGGAUUAGAUACCCUGGUAGUCCACGCUGUAAACGAUGAGCACUAGGUGUCGUGGGUAUUGACCCCCGCGGUGCCGUAGCUAACGCAUUAAGUGCUCCGCCUGGGGACUACGGCCGCAAGGUUA
rnacentral:rRNA from 1 species